AGGGGCGGGAAGGGACCCGGGGGCGGGGAAAGCCGCCCUAGUUUAAGGGGUUCCGGGCCGUCGCUCAGGCCUGGCAGAGCCCAGGCAGCCCGUCAGCACGCGCACAGCGGACUCUGCCGACGAAGCACAAUUGGGAGUGUUUCACAAAGGGCGGGAGAAAUGGGGGACAGCUAGUGCUCCCAGGUUUCCUCGUGGUCCGCGGGGAAAAGCCCGGCGUCCGGGUGCUGCGGGGGGACGAAGGGACGCUGGAAGAGCCAGAGGUGAACCCGAGUGGCCACAUCCCUUUAUCUAGGCAGCGCACUGGCCUCCGCGCCCUUUAUCGCGCCUGGCCGCUGGGCUCGCCCCUGGGCGGUCACGUUCAGUCCCAGCAGCGCGGUGCGCUUGUCCCGCUUGCGCCCUGAUCGUGCGUCUUCGUGCGCUGCGGGAGCCCAGAGCUGAGACUCUGCUGGUUUUCUUUUCUGCUGAGGAGCGCUGAAGUAAAAUGUCCUGUGGGUGAUUUAUAUCCUUGGUCGUGACCUCGAUCUGUACAGCGAAGCCUCGUGAGGGGACGGACAUUGUCGCGUGGGCAUCAUAUCCACAGCGACUAACCAGGGUAUACCUGGAGAGAUGAUGUCAUUGUUGAUGGUGCUUUAUGAUCUGGGUAUUGUGUAUGUGUGAAGCUGACUCAAGACUACCAAGCCCUCUUGUUUUGUUUCAUUUGCUGUCCUGGGGAUUGAGCCCAGGGCCUUGCACAUGUUAAACAUUGCUUCUAACACUAAACUACACCCCCAACCCCUUGUCAUCCUCAUUUUAACUUCUUGAUGAUGUAGUCAUCUAUGCCACUCGCAAAUAUCCAUGACAUUCGGUUUUUCCUGAUUGUCUAAAAUUGUAUUGUACUCCUUUUGUCCAUUCUCUUUCAAGAAAAGGUGCAGGGCCGGGAAUUUAGCUCAGUGGUUCUGGCACCUGCCUGAUAAGUGCAAGGUCCC
rnacentral:lncRNA from 1 species